ensembl:lncRNA
AAAAUACGAGAAUAUAAAAAAAAAAAACAUUACUACUACUACUAGUAGUAGUACUACAAUAAAUGGUUUGAAUAAUGGUAUGGGAAAAUAUAAUACGAUUUCAAACGUUAAUAGUAUGAUUUAUGCAGAUGGAUCCGAUGGUGCAUGUGUGUCGGGAAAUGUGAGUAGUUUGAGUAAUGUUAGUAGUUUGAGUAGUGUUAGUAGUUUGAGUAAUGUAAAUAAUGUAAGUAACAUUAGUAGUGUGAAUAAUGUUAGUAGUAUGAACGAUGCAGGCCAUAAAGUGAAAAUGUUAGCAAUAGAUUGUGAUGAUGGUACUACUAGUAAUACUGAAAGUAUAUGUACCCUAAAUUUAAGUGAAAUAAAAGAAUCUUGUAAAAAUCACAUUCCUCGUAUUAUAAGAUCAACUACUGACACAUUUUUACCAAACGGUUUUUUAAAUGAACAAUCUCAAAUUACGUUUGAAAAUAAUAUAACGAAUAGUGUUGUAGAUAUGUUUACUUCUUUUAUGAAAAUAAAUAUAGCAGCAUUAAAUAAAAACAUAAUUUUUGAUAAAAUAAAUGAUUCAGUAACCAGUGAAGUAAACAAAUCUGUUGAUAAUAUGCGUAAGACUUUUAAAAAUCAUAUGCGUGGAGAGUUAAAUGAUGAAAUUGACAAAAAUAUUAUCCUUUUAAAUACUAAAAUGAAUAAAAAUAUAAACAAAGAAGUUAAAGAUUGUAUGGAAAAUAUACAUACAAAAGUAAAUGAACAAGUAGAAAAAAAAAUAAAUAAAGAAUUUUUUAAAGAGAUGAGUAAUAAUUUAGAAGAUCUUUUAAUAAAAUAUAUGAAUAAAGAGUUAAAAAGAAAAAUGGAUAUAGUAAAGAGACAAUUGUGUGAUAAAUCUAAUGAAAAUAUUAACAAAGAAGUAUUAAAAAGUAUGGAUACAUUAAAUGAAAAUAUAAAUAAAAAUGUAAAUAGAGAAAUAAAAGAAAAUAUAAAAAUAAUAAAUCGUAAUAUAGAGGAAUAUUUAGAAGAUUCAUUGGAUAAAAAUACAAAUAUGUUAGUUAAAAAUAUUAGUGAAAAUUUAUAUGAAGAAGUAAAAUUUAGUUUAAGUUUGAUAGAAAAAAGUAUAGGGGUUCAUUUUAAUGAUUAUUUUAUGCAAUGUAAUUUUAAAAAUGUAGUACAAGAUGCAAGUUUUAAUUUAGCAGAACAAAUCACAGAACUUAUAAAAGUUUCACAACGAUCAAUACAAGGUGAUAUUAAAAACUCGUUUAAUAAUGAGGUGAUAAAAAAAAUAGCAACCGAAUUAAAAAGUUGUAUUACAAAUACUUUAGCUAAUGACAUAACAAAGGAAAUAAAAACUGGUAUUACUAAUGAAUUAGCACAUGUGACAAAUACAAUGAAAGAUGAUAUCCUUAAAGAAAUAAAAACAGAAUUUACUGUUUUGAAUGAACAUAAUUCGAAUUCUGAAAAGGAAAGAACAAAUGAUCUUUUACAACAAAUAAGUGAUUAUCAAACAAAGUUAUACACUUACCAGAAUCUGAAUAUAGAUGAUAAAAUAGAUAAAAAUUUUUUAAAGAUGCAAGAAAAUAUUAAAGAAAUGAUGAGUGAUUGUAUUAGUACUAUUACUGUUGAUAAUGAAAAUAAAAGAAAUAAUAAAAAUUGUGAUAUAAUGAUUAAAAAAAUAGAUGACCAUUUUGAAAAUUUAUCAAAAAAAAUGUUAUCUAAUAUGACUAAAAAUGAAACAAAAAUAACAAAUAAAAGUAAAAAUAAUAAUGAUUAUAAAAUAUGUAUAAAAAGUUUAAAAGAACAGUUAAAUUUAUUUGAAAGAAGAAUUAAUAAAGCUCUUGAAAAUAAUACUAAUUCGUUGAUAAAUAUAUGUGAAAAUGUUGUAACGGAACUAAAAAAUAAUAAUGACAAUAGUGAUGGUAAUAGUAAUGGCAAUAAUAAUGAAAAUAAUAAUGGCAAUAAUAAUGAAAAUAAUAAGGACGAUGAAAUAAUAGAAUUAAUAAAUGAAGUAACUGAAAAAUGUGAAAAAAGGAUAACUGAGCAAAUUCAAAAAGUUGAAAAAACACAAAAAAAAAUUGAUACAAAUAUUAAUAAUGUUCAUGAAAAACAUACCAAAAUGGUUAUAAAAGAAUUAAAAGAUACUAUAAAUAAAACAACAAAAAUUUUAUUUGAAAAUAAAACAAAUGAUAAAAACAGUCGUAUGCUUAUUGACGAAGUUAUUGAAACUAUAAACGAGAAAGUUAGCAACCAUGUAAAUCCAACGCUUAAAUUGGUUAAUCAAAUGAAUGAUAAGUUGAUGUUAGUUUUAUCUGAGGUCACGAAGCAAAAGAAAAGUAGUGGCAUAAACGGUAGCAGUGGCAGCGAUAGCGGCAGUACCAACAUCGACAGUAGUAGCAGCAGUAACAACAACAACAGUGGUAGCAGCAGUAACAACAACGACAGUGGUAGUGGCAGUAACAACAACGACAGUGGUAGUGGCAAUAACAACAACGACAGUGGUAGUGGCAGUAACAACAACGACAUUGGUAGUGGCAGUAACAACAACGACAGUGGUAGUGGCAAUGGUAACGAAGAACCACUUAUAAAUAUGCACAAGCCUGUAAUAAAAUAUAAAAACACACUAAAUAGUUUACAACAAUCAUUAAAAAACAAUAAUGCUAAAUUAAAAGAAUUAAAACGUGAAUAUAGUGAUAUAUCCAAUGAAAUUCAAUGUAAUAAAAAAACAACUGUUUAUACAGAACUUUUCAAUCAGAAUGAAAACAAUCAAUGUACUUAUAAUGAAGAUAUUAGUCAUGAUAGUAAUACUAGGAGACAAAUAAUAGUGGCCAAUCAUACGAAACAAAACAAAAGAGGUGUCGUAUCUGAUUUGGUUAGUAAAUCUCCGAUAAAAAAAAACGACCUAUAUAUAAUUAAAUAUGUGAAGAAUAAACAAAAUGAACUUAUCGAAGUUGCAACAUGGGGUAAUUACAAAAAAUGUAGAAAGGUUAUAAUUUAAAACAAAAGCAUUUUUUAUCGUGUUAAAAAAAAAAAAAAAAAAAAAAAAAAAAAAAAAAAAAAAAAAAAAAAAAAAAAAAAAAAAAAACGAUAGGCCAUUACAUAAUAAUUUUAUACCGUUCUAGGUAAUGAUAUUUAUGUUCAAUACCUAUCAUAUCUAAAAAGGAAAUGUGCAAUGAGUAUUUUUACACAUCGCAAUUUGCAAAAAGAAUUUUUUUUUUUUUUUUAUAUGCUUUUGAAAAAAAAAAAAUUACAUAUAUAUGUAUAAUAGGCAAUAAUGUUUAUGCUUCUACAUACAUAUAUACGUAUAUACGUGCGUUUAUAUAUAUAUAUAUAUAUAUAUAGAUAUACGUAUACAUAUAUAUAUGUAUAUAGAUAAACAGGUAUAUGCGUGAUUUUUCGAUUUGUUAAAAACAAAUAAAUGAAACAAUAUUUACA